rnacentral:rRNA from 2 species
UGGGGAAUAUUGGACAAUGGGCGCAAGCCUGAUCCAGCCAUACCGCGUGGGUGAAGAAGGCCUUCGGGUUGUAAAGCCCUUUUGUUGGGAAAGAAAUCCAGCCGGCUAAUACCUGGUUGGGAUGACGGUACCCAAAGAAUAAGCACCGGCUAACUUCGUG